UAUCUCUGUAGAGUCUGCAUAUCAAUAAGCGGAGGAAAAGAAACUAACAAGGAUUCCCUUAGUAACGGCGAGUGAAGCGGGAAGAGCUCAAAUUUGAAAUCUUCAAGGUUCUACCUUGACGAAUUGUAGUUUAAAGAAGUGUUUUCUGUUAGUGGAGUGGCAAAAGUUCUUUGGAAUAGGACAUCAUAGAGGGUGAGAAUCCCGUAUUUGGUCAUUCCUUCUAGCUUUGUGAUACACUUUCAAAGAGUCGGAUUGUUUGGGAAUGCAGUCCAAAAUGGGUGGUAAAUUUCAUCUAAAGCUAAAUAUUGGCGAGAGACCGAUAGCGAACAAGUACCGUGAGGGAAAGAUGAAAAGAACUUUGAAAAGAGAGUUAAACAGUACGUGAAAUUGUCAAAAGGGAAGCGUUUGACACCAGUGUUGUUUUCUCGAAAAUCGAUUAAAAAAGGCCGGAUUUUGUGUUGUAUUGACCUUAAAAGCUUUCUUCACUCUUUUCUUGUCUUUUUUAAUGCACUUUUCGUUUAACAAGUCAACAUCAGUUUCUUUUGUUGUAAAAGGGUCAUUGGAAGGUGGCUUUCUUUUCGGAGAAAGUGUUUAUAGCCUUUGAUCUCUGCAACCGGAGAGACUGAGGUCUGCAGCGUAGACUCUUCGGGGUUAGAUACAUUUGUGCUAAGCUAUAGCUUUUUAUAGACAACUUGUUGACUAUAUUUAGUCUUGUGGCUUACUCGCUUAUGCUAUUUUACCUACGCUUAGGAUGUUGAGUAGCGACAUACGCAC
rnacentral:rRNA from 1 species